UCGACGGAUGCACGGACUCCCACAUUUUUGCAAAAGGAUAUAAGGACCCUCCCCUGGUUGCUGCAACCCGUCGGCUAGCCUGCGGCACCACACCAUCGGCACCGCCACGCUUCACUGCAGCUCCGGCAACCCCCGCGCUGCUUCAUCACAACACCGGCGAGCCCCCUCUACUUCAUCUGCUGCACACAGCUCCCGCCGGCCAUGGCAUCAUCUUCACCCUAGCCUAGCGGCCUAGCCUACAGCAGCGCGAGGUAAGCGGAGACAGCCAUAUGCAGCAGCGGUGCAACAGCACUAGGUGACGACGUAAGGUGAUUGCGGUGCCGGUCUACAGCGACGGCGAUGGCGCUGGUAUGUGCUGUUGUGUGCUGGAGGAAGAAGAAAAGGGAAGAAAAGAAUGAAUGGCUCAACGCAACUGAGGAAGAGAUAAGGGGAAAAGAAAGGAUAAAGCAGGGAGAGAGAUAAGCGGCGCGUGGGACUCAUCGGACGAGUGGCGCAUGUUGGAGACGGCUUACGCAGGGACAAAAUCAUCUGAUUUAUUUAGAACGUUUUCCUUGUUUGUUUUUGUCUUCAAAAUAGUCGAUCACAACUUCCCAGGUCACCUUUUGGAGUGCUCUGAAUAAACUUUAUGGACUAAAAGAGAUCCCUUGCUGCUGCUGCUGCGAUUUAUAGGCUUGUAGCUAUAAAACCAGCUGAGCUGCUGUGCACAAUAAACAUCCUCAUUCAGUAAACUGAACAAGUAAUUAGCUAGCGCCGCUGAGAUGGUUCAUCCGUUGCAUGGCAUCCAUGAGCUGCUGCUGCAAGGGAGGUCUCCACAUGCAGACCUAGGACUGGUCUUUCUCCUGCUCGUCUGCCCUCUUCUUCUCCUCCUGGUCGUGCGCAGCCUCGCGACGCCGUCGACGGCCGUGGCCACCGCGAGAGCCAGAGAAGAGCUGCUGAGCAGGCUGCCUUCCCCCAGCAGCAGGCUCCCCGUCGUCGGCCACCUGCACCUCGUCGGCCCGCUCCCGCACGUCUCGCUCCGCGACCUGGCCGCCAAGCACGGCCGCGAUGGACUAAUGCUCCUCCGCCUCGGAGCCGUCCCGACGCUCAUCGUAACCUCGCCGAGCGCCGCGCAGGCCGUGCUGCGCACCCACGACCACGUCUUCGCGUCCCGGGCAUACUCCCCCGUCACCGACAUCCUCUUCUACGGCUCCACGGACGUCGCCUUCUGCCCCUACGGCGAGCACUGGCGGCAGGUCAAGAAGAUCGCCACCACGCACCUCCUCACCAACAAGAAGGUCCGCUCCUACCGCCAUGCGCGCGAGAACGAGGUAAGGUUGGUGGUGGCCAAGAUCCGGGAGGCCGCCACCACUGGCGCCGCCGUGGACCUGAGUGACCUGCUCAAUGCAUUCACCAACGACAUCGUCUGCCACGCUGUGGCCGGCAAGUCUUUCAGGAAACAAGGCCACAACAAGCUCUUUCGAGAGCUCGUCGAGGCCAACUCAUCGCUCAUCGGCGGUUUCAACCUUGAAGACUACUUCCCAGUGUUGGUGAAGCUGGACUUCAUCAAGAGGAUGGUUUGCGCCAAGGCCCAGAAGGUGAACAAGAUGUGGGACGAACUGCUCAAUGCUCAUCGAUGUGCACGCAAGCAGGCCCACGUCAGAACAAGGCGGCGAUGACAGCGACUUCAUCGAUGUGUUGCUUUCCAUUCAACAAGAGUACAAUCUUACGAGAGACCAUAUUAAGGCUCAGUUGGAGAUCAUGUUUGAAGCUGGCACUGAUACAUCAUUUAUAGUGUUGGAAUAUGCCAUGGUUCGGCUCAUGCAAAAACCCCACCUCAUGAAUAAGCUAAAAAACGAGGUAAGGAGCACUAUAUCCAAGGGGAAAGACAUGAUUGCUGAAGACGAUCUAAGCAGUUUGGCCUACCUAAAGGCAGUCAUCAAAGAGACACUCCGGCUCCAUAUGCCCGCACCGCUCCUUGUGCCUCACCUCUCCAUGGCCGACUGCAAAAUUAAUGGCUACACGAUACCAUCAGGGACGCGCGCCAUCGUCAACAGUUGGGCUCUUGCAAGGGAUCCCAGCAGCUGGGAGAGCGCAGAAGAGUUCAUGCCUGAGCGGUUCAUGGAAGGUGGUAGCGCUGCAACUAUGGACUACAAGGGAAUCGAUUUCCCCUACUUGCCCUUUGGGACUGGGCGGAGGAUCUGCCCAGGUAUCAACUUUGCAAUUGUGACCAUUGAAAUCAUGCUAGCAAAUCUCAUGUACCACUUCGACUGGAAGCUGCCAUCAGAAUCAAUGGAAGCUGGCAUCAGUAUGACUGAAUCAUUUGGGGUAACGGUGCACCGAAAGGAAAAGCUCCUCCUUGUCCCUGUAGUGCCGGAAGGUUAAUAAAAAGUUGUCCAUAGACACUACCUACAUAAUAGUCAUCUAGAUUUUUGGACUUUUUAUUAAGCACGAGUGUAUUGAGUAAAUAAAGCGUUGCAUCACAAAUAGAUCGCCAUAUUCAUGACUAGCAGUUAAGACUAGUACAAGAACGCUCAUUUGGACAGUUUAUAACUUUAUAUGUGUGCCCAAACGAUUGAAAUUUCCUUAUCAGCAAUACUCAGCACUACCUUGUACAACUUGGUUUUUAGUAAUAUAUAGACAACAUUGCUUACUUC